GACGAACGCUGGCGGCGUGCUUAACACAUGCAAGUCGAACGGAAAGGCCCUGCUUUUGUGGGGUGCUCGAGUGGCGAACGGGUGAGUAACACGUGAGUAACCUGCCCUUGACUUUGGGAUAACUUCAGGAAACUGGGGCUAAUACCGGAUAGGAGCUCCUGCUGCAUGGUGGGGGUUGGAAAGUUUCGGCGGUUGGGGAUGGACUCGCGGCUUAUCAGCUUGUUGGUGGGGUAGUGGCUUACCAAGGCUUUGACGGGUAGCCGGCCUGAGAGGGUGACCGGCCACCUUGGGCCUGAGGUACGGCCCAGUCUCCUACGUGAGGCAGCAGUGGGGAGUAUUGCACAAUGGGCGGAAGCCUGAUGCAGCAACGCCGCGUGCGGGAUGACGGCCUUCGGGUUGUAAACCGCUUUCGCCUGUGACGAAGCGUGAGUGACGGUAAUGGGUAAAGAAGCACCGGCUAACUACGUG
rnacentral:rRNA from 1 species